GAUGAACGCUAGCGGCAGGCCUAACACAUGCAAGUCGAGCGCUUCACUUCGGUGAGGAGCGGCGGACGGGUUAGUAACGCGUGGGAAUAUGCCCUUCUCUAAGGAAUAGCCUCUGGAAACGGAGAGUAAUACCUUAUACGCCCUUUGGGGGAAAGAUUUAUCGGAGAAGGAUUAGCCCGCGUUAGAUUAGGUAGUUGGUGGGGUAAUGGCCUACCAAGCCUACGAUCUAUAGCUGGCUUGAGAGGAUGAUCAGCCACACUGGGACUGAGACACGGCCCAG
rnacentral:rRNA from 1 species